rnacentral:ncRNA from 1 species
GAUAGAAUAAUGUAGGUAAGGGAAGUCGGCAAAUUAGAUCCGUAACUUCGGGAUAAGGAUUGGCUCUGAAGAUUGAGAUAAUCGGGCUUGAUUGGGAAACAAUAACAUGGUUUAUGUGCUCGUUCUGGGUAAAUAGAGUUUCUAUCAUUUAGUUACUUGUUCCCCGGAUAGUUUAGUUACGUAGCCAAUUGUGGAACUUUCUUGCUAAAAUUUUUAAGAAUACUAAUUGGGUUAAACCAGUUAGUUCUUAUUAAUUAUAACGAUUAUCAAUUAACAAUCAAUUCAGAACUGGCACGGACUUGGGGAAUCCGACUGUCUAAUUAAAACAAAGCAUUGUGAUGGCCCUAGCGGGUGUUGACACAAUGUGAUUUCUGCCCAGUGCUCUGAAUGUCAAAGUGAAGAAACCGUAGCGUCGACGCUAUCAAGAAAUGUCGACAGAGGGAGAGAUAUAAGACCAAAAUCGAACAGCUAAAGGGUCAAGCUGUUCCUCUCCCAGAAGCAUUAGAAUCUGAAACCAUACAGCGCCGCCCUAGUAUACGCGAGCGAGAUCUCCUAGUAACGCCACCUAACACUCUCGGAACCACUCCAACCGAACUGUCGAACAGGGAAAUCCUGGCAGUACUACAGGGGUACCCACCUGUAGUAUGCAAUGACCAAUGGAGAGUUGAGGUUUUGCAAUCCAUCGUAGAUGGUGCGCAGGCCUCGGGUAAGGAAAUUACUCUUCAGCGCUUGUCUACUUACCUUAUGGAAGCAUUUCCCUCACAGAAUGACCGCCCCAUUCAAACGAGACCUCCACGGAGACCUCGUAAUAGGAGACAAGGUAGGAGACAGCAGUACGCCUUAACACAGCGUAACUGGGACAAGCACAAAGGUCGUUGUAUAAAAGCCAUUUUGGAUGGAACUGAGGGGACAGCAACUAUGCCAAGUCAAGGUAUCAUGGGGUCCUAUUGGAGACAAGUCAUGACACAAACAAGCCCAACAUAUAGUGGUACGAACACCACGUUCCGGACGGAACACCCACUUGAAGGGGUUUGGUCCCCGAUAACACUAGGGGACCUAAGGGUACACAGAGUGUCAUUGACGAAAUCUCCAGGACCUGAUGGGAUUACUCCAAGAACUGUCAGGAGUAUUCCGUCAGGAGUUAUGCUUCGCAUAAUGAACCUGAUACUUUGGUGCGGAAAGUUGCCUGUCUCCAUCCGACAGGCACGAACCAUCUUCAUUCCGAAGGUGGGGAAUGCUUCUCGACCGUAAGACUUUCGUCCAAUUACGGUACAAUCUGUUAUGGUAAGGAUUUUAAAUGCCAUUUUGGCUUCCCGGUUGACCUCAUCAGUCGACUGGGAUCCGCGUCAGCGAGGUUUCCUUCCAACCGACGGAUGUGCCGAUAAUACGACGAUAGUCGACUUAAUCUUAAGGGAUCACCAUAAACGUUGUAAAUCACUUUAUAUCGCAACUUUAGAUAUAAGCAAAGCAUUUGACUCGGUGUCUCAUGCAGCAGUUAGCGCCACUCUAACUGCAUAUGGUGCCCCUAAAGAAUUCGUUGACUACGUACAAAAUUCGUACGAGGUCUGUGGCACAACGCUCAAUGGGGACGGAUGGAGAUCAGAGGAAUUCAUACCUGCUCGAGGUGUCAGACAGGGUGACCCGCUAUCUCCCAUAAUAUUCAACUUGAUCAUCGAUCAGUUGCUUAGGUCCUACCCCAAUGAGAUUGGUGCCACAAUCGGUGAUCACACAACAAACGCGGCCGCGUUCGCAGAUGAUAUUGUCUUAUUUGCGGAAACUCGUUUAGGCCUUCAAACAAUGCUAGACACGACUGUCGAUUUUCUAUCUUCAGUCGGGCUUACCCUUAACUCGGAUAAAUGUUUUACAGUUGGAAUAAAGGGGCAACCGAAACAGAAGUGUACUGUGGUCAUCCCAGAGACCUUCCGUAUCGGUUCGCGCUCGUGUCCUGCAUUGAAGCGCACAGACGAGUGGAAGUAUUUAGGCAUAACAUUCACUGCACAAGGGAGGACCAGGUACAGUCCAGCCGACGACCUAGGUCCGAAGCUGUUGAGGCUGACAAGGUCCCCCCUAAAACCACAACAGAAAUUGUUCGCACUCAAAACAGUUCUUAUCCCACAACUUUACCAUAAGCUGACCCUAGGUAGUGUGAUGAUAGGUGUUCUGAGGAAGUGUGACAUACUGGUACGUUCGACCGUAAGGAAGUGGUUAGGGCUUCCUCUGGACGUGUCAACUGCAUUCUUCCAUGCUCCUCAUAUUUAUGGGGGCCUCGGAAUCCCUUCAGUUCGUUGGGUAGCGCCAAUGCUACGUAUGAAAAGAUUGAGCAAUAUUAAGUGGGCCCACCUCGCGCAAUCCGAGGCGGCCAGCUCAUUUCUUACCGACGAAUUGAAUAAGGCCCGGGGUAGAACUCUGGCUGGACUGAAUGAGUUGACAUCGCGUACAGAGAUCGAAACGUACUGGGCGAACAGGUUGUAUAUGUCUGUUGAUGGUCGCGGCUUACGUGAAGCGGGACUUUUUCGUCCCCAACACGGCUGGGUGUGUCAGCCCACGCGUUUGCUAACAGGUCAAGAUUACCGAAACGGUAUCAAGCUGCGAAUAAAUGCCCUACCAUCGAGGUCUCGUACCACGAGGGGCAGAAAUGAAUUGGAACGGCAAUGUCGUGCAGGUUGUGAUGCUCCCGAAAAACCACAUCCCACAUCCUGCAGAAUUGUUACCGUACGCAUGGGAGGCGGGUAGCAAGACAUAACUGUGUAGUCAAUAACCUUAAGAGGAUUCUUGAGGAGAAGGGCCACACAGUACACGUCGAACCAAGUUUGCAGCUGGAAACCUCGGUAAGUAAACCAGACCUGGUGUGUAUCCGUGACAAUCACGCUUGCGUGAUUGAUGCGCAGAUUAUAACGGAUGGACUGUUUCUCGACGAUGUGCACCAUCGCAAAGUUGAGAAAUAUAAAAGACCGGAAGUUAUAUCUGCACUGCGGAGAGAAUUCGGAGUGUCGGGCAACGUCGAAGUCCUAUCCGCGACGUUAAACUGGCGUGGGAUCUGGAGCAAUCAAUCCGUUAGAAGAUUGAUAGCAAAGGGUCUCAUCUCAUCCGGUGACAGCAAUGUCAUUAGCGCCAGAGUGGUAACAGGCGGAUUAUAUUGCUUCAGACAGUUCAUGUAUCUCGCAGGAUACACUCGAGAUUGGACUUAGCCUAUACACUAUGUUGGAGAGAAGACGCUUGCUACCUAGGCAUAAUGUGAAAUUAGGUAUAAACAUCGUGGUUGUAAAACUCGAGGUGGGUUUUUAGUACGUAUGCGUGAUUACUUCGUAAUCAUGAAUCGUGCAUGCUAGUGGGGUUUGGCCUCCACUAGUAUCUUUGAAGAUUUUCCUUCCUCAGCGAUCAAAAAAAAAAAAAAAAAAAAAAAAUAGCCAAAUGCCUCGUCAUCUAAUUAGUGACGCGCAUGAAUGGAUUAACGAGAUUCCUACUGUCCCUAUCUACUAUCUAGCGAAACCACAGCCAAGGGAACGGGCUUGGAAUAAUUAGCGGGGAAAGAAGACCCUUUUGAGCUUGACUCUAAUCUGGCAGUGUAAGGAGACAUAAGAGGUGUAGCAUAAGUGGGAGAUAUUAGAUUUCGGUUUGGUAUCGACAAUGAAAUACCACUACUCUUAUUGUUUCCUUACUUACUUGAUUAAAUGGAACGUGUAUCAUUUCCUAGCCAUUAUACGGAUAUAUUUAUUAUAUCUUAUGGUAUUGGGUUUUGAUGCAAGCUUUUCUUGAUCAAAGUAUCACGAGUUUGUUAUAUAAUCGCAAACAAAUUCUUUAAUGAGAAAAUGCAUUUAUGUAUUUUCAAUUUGAAAAUUUGGUAUAACUCCAAUUACUCAGGUAUGAUCCAAUUCAAGGACAUUGCCAGGUAGGGAGUUUGACUGGGGCGGUACAUCUCUCAAAUAAUAACGGAGGUGUCCCAAGGCCAGCUCAGUGCGGACAGAAACCACACAUAGAGCAAAAGGGCAAAUGCUGACUUGAUCUCGGUGUUCAGUACACACAGGGACAGCAAAAGCUCGGCCUAUCGAUCCUUUUGGUUUAAAGAGUUUUUAACAAGAGGUGUCAGAAAAGUUACCAUAGGGAUAACUGGCUUGUGGCGGCCAAGCGUUCAUAGCGACGUCGCUUUUUGAUCCUUCGAUGUCGGCUCUUCCUAUCAUUGUGAAGCAAAAUUCACCAAGCGUUGGAUUGUUCACCCAUGCAAGGGAACGUGAGCUGGGUUUAGACCGUCGUGAGACAGGUUAGUUUUACCCUACUAAUGACAAAACGUUGUUGCGACAGCAUUCCUGCGUAGUACGAGAGGAACCGCAGGUACGGACCAAUGGCACAAUACUUGUUCGAGCGAACAGUGGUAUGACGCUACGUCCGUUGGAUUAUGCCUGAACGCCUCUAAGGUCGUAUCCGUGCUGGACUGCAAUGAUAAAUAAGGNGCAAUUUGCAUUGUAUGGCUUCUAACCAUUAAAGUUUAUAAUUUAUUUUAUAAACGACAAUGGAUGUGAUGCCAAUGUAAUUUGUAACAUNNNNNNNNNNNNNNNNNNNNNNNNNNNNNNNNNNNNNNNNNNNNNNNNNNAGUUGCGCUCUCAACCGGGUG